AUUGAACGCUGGCGGCAGGCCUAACACAUGCAAGUCGAGCGGAUGAAGGGAGCUUGCUCCUGGAUUCAGCGGCGGACGGGUGAGUAAUGCCUAGGAAUCUGCCUGGUAGUGGGGGAUAACGUCCGGAAACGGGCGCUAAUACCGCAUACGUCCUGAGGGAGAAAGUGGGGGAUCUUCGGACCUCACGCUAUCAGAUGAGCCUAGGUCGGAUUAGCUAGUUGGUGGGUAAAGGCCUACCAAGGCGACGAUCCGUAACUGGUCUGAGAGGAUGAUCAGUCACACUGGAACUGAGACACGGUCCAGACUCCUACGGGAGGCAGCAGUGGGGAAUAUUGGACAAUGGGCGAAAGCCUGAUCCAGCCAUGCCGCGUGUGUGAAGAAGGUCUUCGGAUUGUAAAGCACUUUAAGUUGGGAGGAAGGGCAGUAAGUUAAUACCUCGCUGUUUUGACGUUACCAACAGAAUAAGCACCGGCUAACUUCGUG
rnacentral:rRNA from 1 species